CACGUAGGGUGCGAGCGUUUGUCCGGAAUUAUUGGGCGUAAAGAGCUCGUAGGCGGUGUGUCGCGUCGGCCGUGAAAACCUGCAGCUUAACUGUGGGCUUGCGGUCGAUACGGGCAUCACUGGAGUUCGGCAGGGGAGACUGGAAUUCCUGGUGUAGCGGUGAAAUGCGUAGAUAUGGGGAGGAACGACCGGUGGCGAAGGCGGUUCUCUGGGCCUUACCUGGACGCUGAGGAGCGAAAGCGUGGGG
rnacentral:rRNA from 1 species